UACGUAGGGUGCAAGCGUUAUCCGGAAUUAUUGGGCGUAAAGAGCUCGUAGGCGGUUUGUCGCGUCUGCUGUGAAAUCCCGAGGCUCAACCUCGGGCCUGCAGUGGGUACGGGCAGACUGGAGUGCGGUAGGGGAGAAUGGAAUUCCUGGUGUAGCGGUGGAAUGCGCAGAUAUCAGGAGGAACACCGAUGGCGAAGGCAGUUCUCUGGGCCGUAACUGACGCUGAGGAGCGAAAGCGUGGGGAGCGAACAGG
rnacentral:rRNA from 1 species